UACGGAGGGGGCUAGCGUUGUUCGGAAUUACUGGGCGUAAAGCGCACGUAGGCGGAUUGGAAAGUCAGAGGUGAAAUCCCAGGGCUCAACCUUGGAACUGCCUUUGAAACUCCCAGUCUUGAGUUCGAGAGAGGUGGGUGGAAUUCCGAGUGUAGAGGUGAAAUUCGUAGAUAUUCGGAGGAACACCAGUGGCGAAGGCGGCUCACUGGCUCGAUACUGACGCUGAGGUGCGAAAGCGUGGGGAGCAAACAGG
rnacentral:rRNA from 1 species